CGCACAGGGUGCGUAACGCGUAUGCAACCUACCUUAAUCUGGGGGAUAGCCCGGAGAAAUCCGGAUUAAUACCGCAUAAAAUCACAGGAUGGCAUUAUCCAAUGAUCAAACAUUUAUGGGAUUGAGAUGGGCAUGCGUGUCAUUAGCUAGUUGGCGGGGUAACGGCCCACCAAGGCGACGAUGACUAGGGGAUCUGAGAGGAUGGCCCCCCACACUGGUACUGAGACACGGACCAGACUCCUACGGGAGGCAGCAGUAAGGAAUAUUGGUCAAUGGAGGCAACUCUGAACCAGCCAUGCCGCGUGCAGGAAGACUGCCCUAUGGGUUGUAAACUGCUUUUAUCCGGGAAUAAACCUUUCUACGUGUAGGAAGCUGAAUGUACCGGAAGAAUAAGGAUCGGCUAACUCCGUGCCAGCAGCCGCGGUAAUACGGAGGAUCCAAGCGUUAUCCGGAUUUAUUGGGUUUAAAGGGUGCGUAGGCGGCCUGUUAAGUCAGGGGUGAAAGACGGUAGCUCAACUAUCGCAGUGCCCUUGAUACUGAUGGGCUUGAAUGGACUAGAGGUAGGCGGAAUGAGACAAGUAGC
rnacentral:rRNA from 1 species